CCUACGGGUGGCAGCAGUGGGGAAUAUUGCGCAAUGGGCGCAAGCCUGAAGCAGCGACGCCGCGUGAGGGAUGAAGGUCUUCGGAUCGUAAACCUCUGUCAGCAGGGAAGAACGGUCACUGUGCUAAUCAGCAGUGAAUUGACGGUACCUGCAAAGGAAGCACCGGCUAACUCCGUGCCAGCAGCCGCGGUAAUACGGCGGGUGCGAGCGUUAAUCGGAAUUACUGGGCGUAAAGCGCUCGUAGGCGGUAUGUCAAGUCAAGGGUGAAAUCCCCGCGCUCAACGUGGGAACUGCCUUUGAAACUGGCAAACUGGAGUGUGGGAGAGGAUAGUGGAAUUCGAGGUGUAGGAGUGAAAUGCGUAGAUAUCAGGAGGAACAUCAGUGGCGAAGGCGACUAUCUGGCACAUAACUGACGCUGAGGAGCGAAAGCGUGGGUAGCAAACAGGAUUAGAUACCCCAGUAGUC
rnacentral:rRNA from 1 species